rnacentral:lncRNA from 1 species
UAUAUAUAAUAAAUUUUAUUUUAUUUCACAUUGAUCUCAAUAGUCUAUCCUAUGCUGAUUAUUUUAUUUUAUUUUUGAUAGUGUGAUAACUUCUUAUUGAAUAGACUAAUCUAAAUUAAAUUAAAAUUGCUUCUAUAUCUUUCAAAAGUCAAGACAAAGGAUUUGUUAGGUGGAUUUGCUUUUAGUUCAAAAAAGAAGAGUUUCAAUAAAGAAUAAUUGAAAUCAAUAUGAUCUAGAAAUAAUCAUUCAAACACAUACAUUAAACAUAAGAUCAUAAGUGAAAAGCUCCUAAGAAUUGGCAGUCUUUAUUGAAAAUAAUAUAAGACACAGAGAAAGCAAACAUUCAAUUCACAGGAAAUGUAUGAAUAGUAUGCAGAUACUUAUAGACUAUAGUAUGAUGUCAAAUCCAAUACCGUCAAAGCAGCCUCACAUACUUCACUUACAAAAAGAAUUUAAACUAAAGAUUUGUCUCAAUGGAUAAAGUAAGUGACUCUAAAGAUGGGCAUUAUAUUAUUGAUGUACAAUGAGGUAACACAAGAAUUUUCAAUUAUUAAAAAUGAUUCAAGUCUAAAACUACUUCAAAGUAUCUAAACAUAAUAUUAAAGAUAUCAAAAAAUAUAAGAAAAUUUUGGAGAGUGAUUUGAAUAUGCCUAUAAGUACUUAAAUCCUCUAUAGUGCAAGAAGUCUUCUACAUCUAUAGUACCAAUGUAAGAAGUUUGUUAAUUUUUAUGUUCUUAUUAUGACCCUAUUGAGCUACUAAAAUCUCCAUAUUAUUUUUUCUUUUUGUGACAAGGAAAUUGAAGAAAUAUCACAAUAAGAUUGGAUAAAAAUCCUAUUGUAUAUAUUUCUAAAUACAAUAUAUCUAACAUGGAACAACCCUCCAUGUGAGGUUGUUGUUUGUGGCAAAUUUAUCACUACACUUUGGAUUGCACUACAAAUGUAGUCCAUUUCUCAAUUGGAUGGAACUACCAAGGGUGGUGUGGAUCUUUAGGAGGUCCAUAUUUAAUUUCACAAUUGAAGCGGAUCUUCUUGUAUUCAUAAUAGAACACCUUCUUGUUGUCUUUGAUGUCAAACAAUAUUGUAGUUACAAUGACAAAAGAAUUGAUGUUGCUAAGCAUAACAUCAUAAAAAAAAAUUAUUUGAAAAUAAACCUUUUAAAAUAUAGAAGUACUAUACCAACUAUAAUAAUUAGUUUAGAUUGGAAAAUAAUAUAGAUACGAAAGUAAUAUGGUCUAUACUAUUUCAUGUAUAGUUAGGUCAAUUGAUUCAAAUGUAUGGUAGGCAGCCAUUUCUAUUAUAUGUGUAUUGUAUUUUACAUGGUUGAAUAAAGUGACAUUUGAUAACUCAGUAGAUUGGUUUUUUUUAAUAGUUGCAAUUUAUAUUGUAAUUGUCUUGUAUU